AUCCUUGUUAGCCACUUGACUUAAAUUGUGUCCAAAUUCUCAUAUGAUCAUAGUUUACCCACUUUGUGCCUUAUAGCCUUUUUUUGAAUGAACCAAUGAAAAAUGGGUAGAACUUAGAUUGUUGGUGGUUUCUUUGAUGAAAAUGGUUGGAAGAUGAUUGAAAUUGCUUGUCAAACUUUGAUUGAGUGAAAAUCACUAGUCUCCUAUAAGCUAAAAAAAAAAAAAAAUGAAGAGACAUGUUGAAUAAAAGAGCAUAAAGGGGAGUGAUUUGCCUUUUGAAUCAUAGCCAUGACAAGUAUCACUAAGGGUGAAAAGAAAGAAAAGUGGGGAUAUUGGUUGAUUGAUUAGAAAAGAACAAUGGUGAAUAUGACAUAUUCAAUUUGGGAAUUGUAUGGGAUAUGAGUCACUUUGCCUAUAAACACCUCACCUCACCAAAGAGCUCUCAUUGCAACCUAAA
rnacentral:lncRNA from 1 species